UGGGACAAACAAUUUAAACGUUUCGUCUCUUAGUUCGAAUUCUUUUUAAUCCGAUAAGAAACGUAUCAGUAUGAAGAUGAAACAUUCAGGAGAAUUAACAGAAGAAUAGAAGGAGAACAUAGAAUAGAUUAUAAAAUUCAUUGGGCUUGGGAUUAUUUUACUCCAAAAACAGAUAAAGGGGCAACGUGCAACAUAUGCGACAGUUAGUACAUAUAUGCUCAGUUAUCGAGCCAUCUUAAAAAGCACAGGGCCAAAUAUGAAAUUUUCAAUCCAAAUUACGCGAGCAAUAGUGUAAACGACGAUACGACCAUAAAGAAUGCGGAACAUCAGAAAGUCAACGUCAACAGCUUCUAAUUUGAUCAA